GAAAAAUGUAUUUGAGGAAGUUGGUUGUUUUUUUGUAAUGUUCACUUGAUUUCAAUCCUUUUUUUAGCUUUUCAAGUGGCUGCAAGGGAAUUACUUGAGCAUUCCACCACUGUUGUCACAGGUAAGAUGGAUAGGGAGUUCAAACAAACCAAUAAUGCUGAUAAUCCCUGGGGCCACAGUUAUAUUCACAGUUGAAGAUGAUGUUUCUUCAUCCUAAUCUUACUGUUUGGUGUGGUAUUGAGCCCUUUGUGGCUCACUACUACUCUUUUCAAAUAAUUGUAAGAUGGUACUUUGUAAAAUCAAGAUGGGUUAUUAUUAUGAAUAAAAUUCAACUCAAGGGUUUCCAAGGCUCUUGUUUUUAAUUUGUU